AAAAAAUUCUGAUGUCCUAUGACUCUGGGAUGUUGCAGUAUAUGCUGUAAAGCAGCACAUCAAAGCAAGAGGAACACGAAGACAUCAGGGUUUCUGACAUAUGCUGUAGAACAGACAUAAAGAAAGAAAAGCAGCCAACCGAGUUGUCAAACCAGCCUCAACAGAUGUCUUUCAUGGAAGAUCUUUUUUUUUUUUUUUAAAGAUGUGGAACAUGUGGAACAUGGAUGCAUUUUCCAAAUCUAUUCUAUUCAGCCUUUUGUUACUUGUCGUAGAGAAGAUCAUUGGCUUCACUUUUACAUGCCCUUGCAAAUAUUUUUUGAAUCAACAAAUAAUAACGUCCAUCUUCUUUGGACCUUUUCUUGCAUCGUUUCUUGUGAUGUUCAUCCGGUUAAGACCCUUUAGAUACCCAUGCUAUGAAGUAAAAGAUCGUCGUUCAGCAACACCAAAUGAUGUAGAGGAUUCUCAGCGUUCAAAUGAGGCCAAAGUUCCACGCAAUUGUCCUGAGGCUUUUGCGUAUUGUCUGAUUCCCCCAUUUUUUUGGAUCAUACUCUUGUUACUUUAUGGCGAUUAUAUGGCAUGUGCCUCGACAACAUGGGAAGGAAAGUAUGUUAAGGAUGAAGAGCUUGGCAGAAUGUGGUGUCAACCAAUGGAUCGGCACAAUUUCAUGUUCAGGAAUGACAGUGAACAUAAACAUGUCUUUCAGGGCUUUAUUUCCACAUCGCAGAGUGCAGGUUAUAUACUGCUUGGUGUCUUCAGUGCUGUGAUCGCUGUAUUAGUGGGAAUUUAUGACUGUUGCAUAAGUGGAACAUCAGAAUGCUGCAGAGGAAAACAUGAAGACACAGAGCAGGGACGGCAAGUGUCAUGCGGUGGUGAAUGCGAGCUGGAACCACUUGUUGCUUAAUAAGCUGUAUGAAAUAUAAGUCUGUCUGUUGUUUUUUCAUAUCACAUCAUAUAGUCUGCAUGUAUUGUAUGUCAUGAUCUAUUGCACAUGCAUCCCCCAAAAAGGACUACGGAUAUAAAUAUAGAAAAAAAGCCAGUUUUGGCUAAAUCUUGUGCAUUUUACAUAUCGUAUGUGUUAUUCAUGUGGCUUGUCCAUGAUUAAAUAAAUGAAAUGAAAUCCCCUGAGAAAAUAAUAUGUCCGCCUAUUAAAAGCAUUUAAAGACACCAGGGGGCAGCAUCAAAUCCUCAGCUUAAAUGUUGAAAGUCUUUAGUGUCAUCAUUUAAACUUGUAAUCAAAAGUUAAAUUGUUAUAUUGUUUAAUACACAAAUGACUUUUGUUAUUGCAUUAUCUUUUGCUGAUUUGAGGUUUGAGGUUAGAUUAUGUUAAUCCUCUUUUGUGCUGUAACCUUUAUUCCUUUCACAAGUCAUGAUGAGUAGUUAUUUUAUUUGAUCUUUUUUGUAAAAUAUACGUAUAUUACGUUUGAGCAAAUUUAAUAAUUUCUAAUUUCAUAUUUAUUUUUUUUAAAAGCUUAUACAAAAUAACUUUAUGAUCAGCCACAUAGAAGGGGGUUACUUAUGUUUAGAUUAAAAUAUGUGACUUUAUCAUGGUAUAUUUGCUUACUUUAAUAUACUAUAAAAAAUAUAUAUAUUUUUCAUUCUUUCUUUUGCUUGCUUCAGCAAUUUUUAGUUACCAUAACUUUUAUUUUUGAGAAUUACAAACUCAUUAUAUUUUAUUAAUUUUAACUAUUUGCAAGAUAAGCACAGUUGUGACUGUAAAAAUGAUUUUUGUUGUGACAAAGUAACAUCACUUAAACUGGGCUGAGAAUUUCCUGUUCCCAGCAUGGUUUUCAUGCA